GCAAGUCGAGCGGAAACGACAUUAUUGUAUCUUCGGAGGAUUUAAUGGGCGUCGAGCGGCGGACGGGUUAGUAAUGCCUAGGAAAUUGCCUUGAUGUGGGGGAUAACCAUUGGAAACGAUGGCUAAUACCGCAUAAUGCCUACGGGCCAAAGAGGGGGAUCUUAGGUCCUCUCGCGUCAAGAUAUGCCUAGGUGGGAUUAGCUUGUUGGUGAGGUAAUGGCUCACCAAGGCGACGAUCCCUAGCUGGUCUGAGAGGAUGAUC
rnacentral:rRNA from 1 species